UAUGAGUUCCAGUUCCCGGGUGCUUGGACGUUGCGGAUCGGCUUAAAAAACGCAUCGGAAGCGAGCAUACUCAGUUUGUCGGCAAUUUGAAAUGAGUUAAAAUGUGUGCAAAAUAUGAUAAAAAUAUAUGCCAUAAACGGCACAUGGGCUGCUAUCCAUGAAAAAGUGUUAAGUGUGGUGUGUCAUAUGGAUCGAAAUGGAUCCAUGUGUUGAAGAUGUGCUUGCCAAAUAUAAAAAACCGAAAAGUAGAGGGGUUAAUGAUAAUCCUCUAGCUAAAUGGAAUAACAGAUUCUACGGGCACUCACACAGCAAAUAAAUUGUCCUACUGCCUGAUUAGCAUUCCAGGAUACCAAGUAAUACACAACUCCAGAGGACAGUUCUCCAUUUUGGGCACAUUUAAAAUUCAGAACGCGUUGAGCACAUUAUCACUUCCCAUUGGACCGAGAUGACUUCAUUUUCGUGCCAUAUGCCACAUGCCUAUGCCGGUGCUGUACUUGUGGUUCCAGCCGCUCCUCUUAAGUUGCUGCCAUGAUUUACUACAAGCAGAUGAUUUAAUAUAACCGCAUAUCUGGAUAUAGAACCACGCACACACCCGGCCAGAGUGCACUUCAGAUGCAUUCGACUGUGUUCGACUGCAUUCGACUGCAUUGGACUGCACUGGAAACAAGAACCCGUUGAACUGGCCCACAAACAGAGGCAGGCACCCCACACAUGUUGCCAGUGAAGCGUCCGUUUUGGAAGUAAAACGGGACGACUGCUAAAGGUCCUCCAUCUUGAAAACCGACGCCUCUAAGAAGCAGCUCAGCAAGACGACAACUCAAUUGAAUAUUUAAACAAAAAAUAUAUUGUAAAUAACUUAAUAAUUUAAAAUUUCUGCAAUGGAAAUGGGAA